ACAACACAAAAUUUGUAUAAAAUAAAACAUACAAAUAAAGAUAAAAAUAAAAUUAAAAAUUGAAAUUAAAAAUUGAAGAUCCUAUUCCAAAGAUUUCCAACACCAGAUAAAGAUCAAAUGUAAUACAAUUGGUACACUAUAUAGGGCUUCACUGAAUUGAUUUUAAUCUAAAAAGCACCAUAGAUCAAUAUCUAAAUUUAG